rnacentral:rRNA from 1 species
UACGUAGGGUGCGAGCGUUGUUCGGAAUUACUGGGCGUAAAGGGCUCGUAGGCGGCCAACUAAGUCGGAUGUGAAAUCCCCAGGCUUAACCUGGGAACUGCAUCCGAUACUGGAUGGCUUGAAUCCGGGAGAGGGAUGCAGAAUUCCAGGUGUGGCGGUGAAAUGCGUAGAUAUCUGGAGGAAUACCGGUGGCGAAGGCGGCAUCCUGGACCGGCAUUGACGCUGAGUGAGCGAAAGCCAGGGGAGCAAACGGG